rnacentral:lncRNA from 1 species
GAAAAUGAAGAUAUCAGGGAUAAUAGACAAAGGAAAAGUGCCCUCUUGGGGUCCUGUUCUCUUCACUGCUCAAAAUUCUGACCAGCCUGCACCCAGCCCUGCACUUCCAUUCCAAGCUCCGUCUGGGACAGCGUGACAUCAUCAAAUUCAACCUGUGACAUCAUCAAACUCAACCCACAACAUCAAACUCAACUCAUGACAUCAUCAAACCCAGCCCAUGACAUCAUCAAACCCAACCUGCGACAUCAUCAAACACAACCCACGACAUCAUCAAACUCAACCCACGACAUCAUCAAACCCAACCCACGACAUCAUCAAACUCAACUCGUGACAUCAUCAAACCCAACCUGCGACAUCAUCAAGCACAACCCACGACAUCAUCAAACUCAACCCACGACAUCAUCAAACCCAACCCACGACAUCAUCAAACUCAACUCGUGACAUCAUCAAACCCAACCCACGCCUUGUACCUCUCCUCCUCCUCCUUGCCGUAGCCUGAGCUCCGCUCCUCCCUCUCCGUGACGGCUCCUCUGCCCUC